rnacentral:pre_miRNA from 1 species
ACAACAUUCGGACCGUCGGUCUACCGAGCAAUAUCACCCGCUCGAUGGAAGAUCUUCCCUUUGUUGU